AUUGAACGCUGGCGGCAGGCUUAACACAUGCAAGUCGAGCGAGCGGCGGACGGGUGAGUAAUGUCUGGGAAACUGCCUGAUGGAGGGGGAUAACUACUGGAAACGGUAGCUAAUACCGCAUACCAUCAGAUGUGCCCAGAUGGGAUUAGCUAGUAGGUGGGGUAAUGGCUCACCUAGGCGACGAUCCCUACCGGAGCUGAGAGGAUGACAAGCCACACUGGAACUGAGACACGGUCCAGACUCCUACGGGAGGCAGAAGUGGGGAAUAUUGGACAAUGGGGGAAACCCUGAUCCAGCAAGCCCGCGUGUGUGAUGAAGGCCUUCGGGUUGUAAAGCACGUUUGGCAGGAAAGCGGUACCUGCAGAAUAAGCACCGGCUAACUACGUGCCAGCAGCCGCGGUAAUAC
rnacentral:rRNA from 1 species